UGGGGGAUAUUGCACAAUGGGCGAAAGCCUGAUGCAGCGACGCCGCGUGGGGGAUGAAGGCCUUCGGGUUGUAAACUUCUUUUGCUCUGAACAAGGCAUGCUAAUGGGUGUGUUGAGUGUAGGGGUUGAUUAGCGCCGGCUAACUACGUGCCAGCAGCCGCGGUAAUACGUAGGGCGCGAGCGUUGUCCGGAAUUAUUGGGCGUAAAGGGCUUGUAGGUGGCUGGUUGCGUCUGUCGUGAAAGCUCAUGGCUUAGCUGUGGGUUUGCGGUGGGUACGGGCUGGCUUGAGUGCAGUAGGGGAGGCUGGAAUUCCUGGUGUAGCGGUGGAAUGCGCAGAUAUCAGGAGGAAUACCGGUGGCGAAGGCGGGUCUCUGGGCUGUUACUGACACUGAGGAGCGAAAGCAUGGGGAGCGAACAGG
rnacentral:rRNA from 1 species